CGGUGGAAGUUCAUUCCCAGUAUGAGAGACAGAGGGUGUGACUGUGACAGGAACACGUGACAAUGGGAAGAGCAAAAUGACAGUAGUAACACAUACACCACAUGCCGGUGCCCAGAGUCUCCCUGUAGAACUGAAAUUCUUCUCAUUGCGCAUGUGCAUUCUCCCUGCGAUACACUCACAGCGUCUGUGCUGUUGUCCCACGCAUGCGCACCGCCUCCAGGAAAGCGUUCUACUUUGUGCGCAUGCGCAGGACAAACCGUUAGGACCACACAGGCGCUAUGUGUGAGAGGGAGAGUGCACAUGCGCAGUGCGGAGAAGAUCACUUCUCCAGUGGGACUCCGCCAGGGGCUCAUGGAUCCGCCAAUCAACUCCCUCACUCAGCAGGUGGCAUUUGAGGAUGUGGCAGUUUAUUUCUCGGAGUUGGAGUGGGCAUUACUCAAGGAUUGUCAGAAGGAUCUGUAUAAAACUGUAAUGAGAGACAACUAUGAAGUGGUCGCGUCUCUGGGUUUCCCGGUGCUGAGCUCCAAGGCCCUGGGCAGAAUGAGACAUGGGGUAACUGUAGAGCUGGAGGGCACAGAGGAGAUUGAUAUUGGGGAUAGUGCUCAGAACAUGAAGGACAUAAUGAAGUGCUUGAAUAAGUGUCUGUCUCCUCUGCAAAUCUGCACUGAGUUCAGCAGUGGCUGCAGGAGUCAGGCGGUUUCGGAUCCAAGCGCCAAAUCACUGGGGAAUGUGAAAAAGGAAGCGUUUCAGACAUUUGGUGCAUUGGGCUCUUUGCCCUUGAGGGUGCCCAACCUUCUAGCCAACACCAAUUCCAGGUGUGACCGUGUGGCACUUAAGCAGGGACAGAAUGGAAAAGCUCUGAGUGACCAACCCGAUGCAGGUGCCCAUGAUGCUGAGGGGUUUCAUACUCCAUUCCAGUGCAGUAAGUGUAAAAAGACCUUUACUAACCCCUACGAUCUGCAGAGUCAUGCCAACGUGCACAUCAGGGAGAUACGCUAUACGUGCAGGGAUUGUGGGAGGGGCUUCUCUCGCUCGGACUUCUUUAAAGCUCACCGACAUAUGCACAUGGGAGAGAAGCCCUUCAAAUGUUCAGAAUGUAAGAAGUGCUUCAGUGCAGUGAGCAUCCUGAAGAAGCACUUGAGAAGCCAUCAGCCAAAGAUGAGCAGGCGGGCAAAGAAAAUGAAGAAAAAGAGCAAACAGAAUGUUCCGGACUUCCUUUCUGAUCCGGAUUAUGAGAAGAAACACACAUGCACCGUGUGUCAGAAGACUUUUAGCAAGUCCUAUAACCUCAAGGUUCAUGAGAGGAUUCACACAGGGGAGAAGCCAUAUAAAUGCCCCAAGUGCGACAAGUGUUUCUCACAAAACGCCCGGCUGAGGGUCCACCGCACCACCCAUGCAGAAUGGGCACAUGAGGCCAUGUGGGUGCGGAAGCGCAAGCCCAGCGUCCCCACCGAGAAGCUGCAUAAGUGCAAUGUGUGUGAAAAGUCUUUCAGCAAGUCCUACAGCCUCAAGGUCCAUCUGAGGACUCACACGGGGGAGAAACCCUACACCUGCGACGAGUGCCACAAGAGCUUCUCCAAGAACAACCUCCUGACGGUGCACAAACGCAUCCACAGCGGGGAGAGGCCCUAUCAAUGCAACGACUGUCUGAAGAGCUUCAGCGUCAUCUCCCACCUGCGAGUGCACAAGAGAACUCACACCGGGGAGAGACCCUACAAGUGCACCGAGUGCAUCAAGAGCUUCAGUGAUUACUCUUCCAUGGUGCGUCACCAGAGGAUCCAUUCAGGUGCCAAGCCGUACCAGUGCAAUGUUUGCCAGAAGACUUUUCGAGAGAAAUCCCACGUGACGGUGCACCAGAGGACUCACACCGGGGAGCGCCCGUAUAAGUGUGCCGAGUGCAACAAGACUUUCAGUGACUGCUCUUCUUUUGUGGAGCAUCGCCGGCAUCACACGGGGGCCAGGCCAUACAAGUGUGAGCUGUGCCACAAAAGCUUUACAAAGGCCUACACCCUCAAAAUCCAUCACCGGGUGCACACGGGCGAGCGGCCAUAUCAGUGCGACCAGUGUCCCAGGAGCUUCAGCAUCAACUACCACUUGAAGGUGCACGAGAAGACUCACUGGAACAAUCAGAAACUAUAAACCCUCAGUGGAAAAUGAUGGACCCAGAGCUUUGUGCUGGGGGAGUGGCAUAUAAACAUCUUUAUAAAGUCUGGAUUAUCUGUAAGCAAAUCAGGAAAAGACCAAGAGACAUAGUAUCUGGGAGCAGGUGAAAUGGAGACCACAAAUGAAAUUGGUGCAUGGUCUGAGAUAUUAAUGUCUCCUAUAGUUGCUUCAAUAGUUUUAUUUAUCAAAUUAUUGGACAUUAGAAAAUAGUCUAUUCUUGUACCUACAUGAUGAGCAGAUGAGAAAAAGGUAAAAUCAUUUUCAGCAGGGUGAAAAAGUCUCCAAACAGCAUUAAGGUUGGUAUCUCUACAAAAAUGAUGUAGAAGUGUAGUUUUCUUACAAGGAUUAUUCAAUUUCAAUCAAUAUAUUCAGAUCUAGAACUAUUUGGAGCAUAUACGGAACACAGAUGCCACAGAACACCAUUAAUAAUUAC